UACAGAGGUCCCAAGCGUUGUUCGGAUUCAUUGGGCGUAAAGGGUGCGUAGGCGGGUCUUUAAGUCAGGGGUGAAAUCCUGGAGCUCAACUCCAGAACUGCCUUUGAUACUGAAGAUCUUGAGUCCGGGAGAGGUGAGUGGAACUGCGGGUGUAGAGGUGAAAUUCGUAGAUAUUCGCAAGAACACCAGUGGCGAAGGCGGCUCACUGGCCCGGUACUGACGCUGAGGCACGAAAGCGUAGGGAGCAAACAGG
rnacentral:rRNA from 1 species